UACGUAGGGGGCAAGCGUUGUCCGGAAUCAUUGGGCGUAAAGGGUGCGUAGGCGGCGCGGUAAGUCGGGUGUGAAAUCUCGGAGCUUAACUCCGAAACUGCAUUCGAUACUGCCGUGCUUGAGGACUGGAGAGGAGACUGGAAUUUACGGUGUAGCGGAUGAAAUGCGUAGAUAUCGUAAGGAAGACCAGUGGCGAAGGCGGGUCUCUGGACAGUUCCUGACGCUGAGGCACGAAGGUCAGGGGAGCAAACGGG
rnacentral:rRNA from 1 species